rnacentral:rRNA from 1 species
AACGAACGCUGGCGGCAUGCCUAACACAUGCAAGUCGAACGAGACCUUCGGGUCUAGUGGCGCACGGGUGCGUAACGCGUGGGAACCUGCCCUUAGGUUCGGAAUAACUCCCCGAAAGGGGUGCUAAUACCGGAUAAUGUCUUCGGACCAAAGAUUUAUCGCCUUUGGAUGGGCCCGCGUUGGAUUAGCUAGUUGGUAGGGUAAAAGCCUACCAAGGCGACGAUCCAUAGCUGGUCUGAGAGGAUGAUCAGCCACACUGGGACUGCGACACGGCCCAGACUCCUACGGGAGGCAGCAGUGGGGAAUAUUGGACAAUGGGCGAAAGCCUGAUCCAGCAAUGCCGCGUGAGUGAUGAAGGCCUUAGGGUUGUAAAGCUCUUUUACCCGGGAUGAUAAUGACAGUACCGGGAGAAUAAGCUCCGGCUAACUCCGUG